UACGUAGGUGGCAAGCGUUGUUCGGAAUUACUGGGCGUAAAGCGUACGUAGGCGGCGGGUUAAGUCGAAUGUUAAAGCCUGGGGCUCAACCCCAGAGAUGCACUCGAUACUGGCUUGCUAGAGGGUGAUAGAGGAAAGCGGAAUUCCCAGUGUAGCGGUGAAAUGCGUAGAUAUUGGGAGGAACAUCAGUAGCGAAGGCGGCUUUCUGGGUCACACCUGACGCUGAGGUACGAAAGCGUGGGGAGCAAACGGGG
rnacentral:rRNA from 1 species